AUUAUUUUAGCAUAUUAGUGCUUUAAAUUUAGAAUUUAAAAAAAGUAAUUUAAAUUACAAAUAAUA
rnacentral:tRNA from 1 species